UACGUAGGUGGCAAGCGUUAUCCGGAAUUAUUGGGCGUAAAGAGCGCGCAGGUGGUUGAUUAAGUCUGAUGUGAAAGCCCACGGCUUAACCGUGGAUGGUCAUUGGAAACUGGUCGACUUGAGUGCAGAAGAGGGAAGUGGAAUUCCAUGUGUAGCGGUGAAAUGCGUAGAGAUAUGGAGGAACACCAGUGGCGAAGGCGGCUUCCUGGUCUGUAACUGACACUGAGGCGCGAAAGCGUGGGGAGCAAACAGGAUUAGAUA
rnacentral:rRNA from 1 species